CCUACGGGGGGCUGCAGUGAGGAAUAUUGGUCAAUGGGCGGAAGCCUGAACCAGCCAAGUCGCGUGAGGGAAUAAGGCCCUACGGGUCGUAAACCUCUUUUGCCGGGGAGCAAGGGCGGGGACGUGUCCCGGCCCGGAGAGUACCCGGAGAAAAAGCAUCGGCUAACUCCGUGCCAGCAGCCGCGGUAAUACGGAGGAUGCGAGCGUUAUCCGGAUUUAUUGGGUUUAAAGGGUGCGUAGGCGGAUUGAUAAGUUAGAGGUGAAAUGUCCGAGCUUAACUCGGGAACUGCCUCUAAUACUGUUGAUCUAGAGAGUAGAUGCGGUAGGCGGAAUGUAUGGUGUAGCGGUGAAAUGCUUAGAGAUCAUACAGAACACCGAUUGCGAAGGCAGCUUACCAAUCUAUAUCUGACGUUGAGGCACGAAAGCGUGGGGAGCAAACAGGAUUAGAUACCCGGGUAGUC
rnacentral:rRNA from 1 species